GCCAGACUCCUACGGGAGGCAGCAGUCGGGAAUAUUGCGCAAUGGAGGAAACUCUGACGCAGUGACGCCGCGUGCAGGAAGAAGGUUUUCGGAUUGUAAACUGCUUUAGACAGGGAAGAAACAAGACAGUACCUGUAGAAUAAGCUCCGGCUAACUACGUGCCAGCAGCCGCGGUAAUACGUAGGGAGCAAGCGUUAUCCGGAUUUAUUGGGUGUAAAGGGUGCGUAGACGGGAAAACAAGUUAGUUGUGAAAUCCCUCGGCUUAACUGAGGAACUGCAACUAAAACUAUUUUUCUUGAGUGUUGGAGAGGAAAGUGGAAUUCCUAGUGUAGCGGUGAAAUGCGUAGAUAUUAGGAGGAACACCAGUGGCGAAGGCGGCCUGCUGGACAUUAACUGACGCUGAGGCGCGAAAGCGUGGGGAGCAAACAGGAUUAGAUACCCGAGUAAC
rnacentral:rRNA from 1 species